rnacentral:rRNA from 1 species
UUGGAGGGCAAGUCUGGUGCCAGCAGCCGCGGUAAUUCCAGCUCCAAUAGCGUAUAUUAAAGUUGUUGCAGUUAAAAAGCUCGUAGUUGAAUUUCGAGACCGGCUUACUGGUCGUGCUAUUGUACGUACUGGUAUAAUCGGUUUCUCCUUUCUGACGAACUAUAAUGCCAUUAAUUUGGUGUUUUAGGGAAUCAGGACUGUUACUUUGAAAAAAUUAGAGUGUUUAAAGCAGGCUCACGCUUGAAUACAUUAGCAUGGAAUAACGGAAUAGGACGUUUGAUUCUAUUUUGUUGGUUUCUAGGAUCGACGUAAUGAUUAAUAGGGAUAGUUGGGGGCAUUAGUAUUCAAUUGUCAGAGGUGAAAUUCUUGGAUUUAUUGAAGACUAACUACUGCGAAAGCAUUUGCCAAGGAUGUUUUCAUUAAUCAAGAACGAAAGUUAGGGGAUCGAAGACGAUCGGAUACCGUCGUAGUCUUAACCAUAAACUAUGCCGACUAGGGAUCGGAUGAUGUUAAUUUUUUAAUGACUCAUUCGGCGCCUUACGGGAAAC